AGGGUUUGAUCAUGGCUCAGGAUGAACGCUGGCGGUAUGCUUUACACAUGCAAGUCGUACGAGAGUUUUUAACUCAAGUGGCGGACGGGUGAGUAACACGUAAGAAUUUGCCUUUAGGAGGGGGACAACAGUUAGAAAUGACUGCUAAUACCCCAUAUGCUUUCGAGUGAAAUGGAUUUUUCCGCCUAGAGAGAAGCUUGCGGCUGAUUAGCUUGUUGGUGAGGUAAUGGCUCACCAAGGCGACGAUCAGUAUCUGGUUUGAGAGGACGAUCAGACACACUGGAACUGAGACACGGUCCAGACUCCUACGGGAGGCAGCAGUGGGGAAUUUUCCGCAAUGGGCGAAAGCCUGACGGAGCAAUACCGCGUGAGGGAUGACGGCCUAUGGGUUGUAAACCUCUUUUUUCAGGGAGGAAUCAAUGACGUGUACCUGAAGAAUAAGCAUCGGCUAACUCCGUGCCAGCAGCCGCGGUAAGACGGAGGAUGCAAGUGUUAUCCGGAAUCACUGGGCGUAAAGCGUCUGUAGGUGGUCCAAUAAGUCAACUGUUAAAUCUUGAGGCUCAACCUCAAAAUCGCAGUCGAAACUAUUAGACUAGAGUAUAGUAGGGGUAAAGGGGAUUUCCAGUGGAGCGGUGAAAUGCGUAGAGAUUGGAAAGAACACCGAUGGCGAAGGCACUUUACUGGGCUAUUACUAACACUCAGAGACGAAAGCUAGGGUAGCAAAUGGGAUUAGAUACCCCAGUAGUCCUAGCCGUA
rnacentral:rRNA from 1 species